rnacentral:rRNA from 1 species
GACGGAGGGAGCAAGCGUUGUCCGGAAUUAUUGGGCGUAAAGCGCUCGUAGGCGGGAAUUUAAGUCCGGGAGUAAAUAAACAGGCUUAACCUGUUGAUCAUUCCGGAUACUGGAUUUCUUGAGGACAGGAGAGGAAAGCGGAAUUCCUAGUGUAGCGGUGAAAUGCGUAGAUAUUAGGAGGAACACCAGUGGCGAAGGCGGCUUUCUGGCCUGAUCCUGACGCUGAGGAGCGAAAGCCAGGGGAGCGAACGGGAUUAGAUACCCCGGUAGUCCUGGCUGUAAACGAUGGAUACUAGGUGUAGGAGGUAUCGACCCCUUCUGUGCCGCAGCUAACGCAAUAAGUAUCCCGCCUGGGGAGUACGGCCGCAAGGUUGAA